CUUUUAAAGGAAACGAGCUAUCCACUGGCCUUAGAAGCCAUCAUCCU
rnacentral:tRNA from 1 species